rnacentral:misc_RNA from 1 species
UGCAGCUGCUUGAGUUUCCUCUGGG